rnacentral:rRNA from 1 species
AUGCGUACGGCGCGCGUGGGUGUUGGCGAUGAUUAUGUGGCUGUUGGUCUGCGGCUUCGCGAUAUACAACAUGGAGCCGCCCGAAUACUUGCCCGAGUUCUGGGUGAAGCUGCCCGCUGUCGAGGGGCUCGACCGGGGCACGCGUCGCGGGGCCCCGCCUUCAACAUCACCCUCCGUGUCCACAACCGAGGCAGCGAGCCCUGGCACUUCAAGGGGCCGGGCCGCGUCGUGGGGGCGUACGCGGGCGUGCCGCUCGCCCACGCUGACCUCGCCGAGUUCACCGUGCCGGGGCAGGUCAUCGGCUCGGUGCCCAUCGUUGCCACCAGCGAGGGGCUGGGGCUGCCCGACGAGCUGUACGACCGCAUGCAGGGCCAGCGCCGGCGACGAGAGCGCGUGAAGCUGGCGGUGCACGUGACGCUGGAUGGUGUGCUGCUGUGGUGCACGGCGAUACUGCACGGGCAACCACGGGGGCCGUUUGUCUGCCCGAUUCUCUAUGGCCCGACCUUUGACCGCACGGAUCCCAGACAAAUGAUGUUCGUAAUUGUUUGA